rnacentral:tRNA from 1 species
GCUGAAGUAGCAAAGUGGUAAUGCGAGAAUUCUAAGCUUUCUUUACCAAAGGUUCGAGUCCUUUUUUCAGCU